UGUUUAUCGAGAGUGGUGGAGGGACUGGCCCAAUGAAACCCGACAACCAGUAUUAUUUAUAGUACAUUGGUGUCAAUUCCUGCAGCUUAAGCUGAAAGAUAAGGA
rnacentral:ncRNA from 2 species